rnacentral:rRNA from 1 species
GUGUAUACACUAGACUGAUGAGUUGCGAACGGGUGAGUAACGCGUAGGUAACCUGCCUCAUAGCGGGGGAUAACUAUUGGAAACGAUAGCUAAUACCGCAUAAGAGUGAUUAACACAUGUUAGUUAUUUAAAAGGAGCAAUUGCUUCACUGUGAGAUGGACCUGCGUUGUAUUAGCUAGUUGGUGAGGUAAAGGCUCACCAAGGCGACGAUACAUAGCCGACCUGAGAGGGUGAUCGGCCACACUGGGACUGAGACACGGCCCAGACUCCUACGGGAGGCAGCAGUAGGGAAUCUUCGGCAAUGGACGGAAGUCUGACCGAGCAACGCCGCGUGAGUGAAGAAGGUUUUCGGAUCGUAAAGCUCUGUUGUUAGAGAAGAACGUUGGUAGGAGUGGAAAAUCUACCAAGUGACGGUAACUAACCAGAAAGGGACGGCUAACUACGUGCCAGCAGCCGCGGUAAUACGUAGGUCCCGAGCGUUGUCCGGAUUUAUUGGGCGUAAAGCGAGCGCAGGCGGUUCUUUAAGUCUGAAGUUACAAGGCAGUGGCUUAACCAUUGUACGCUUUGGAAACUGGAGGACUUGAGUGCAGAAGGGGAGAGUGGAAUUCCAUGUGUAGCGGUGAAAUGCGUAGAUAUAUGGAGGAACACCGGUGGCGAAAGCGGCUCUCUGGUCUGUAACUGACGCUGAGGCUCGAAGGCGUGGGGAGCAAACAGGAUUAGAUACCCUGGUAGUCCACGCCGUAAACGAUGAGUGCUAGGUGUUAGGCCCUUUCCGGGGCUUAGUGCCCAGCUAACGCAU